UGGGGAAUAUUGGGCAAUGGCCGAAAGGCUGACCCAGCGACGCCGCGUGUGGGAGGAAGCCCUUCGGGGUGUAAACCACUGUCGGGGGGGACGAAAGCGCGGGCGGAAAAUACCCGCCCGCAGUGACGGUACCCCUAGAGGAAGCACCGGCUAACUCUGUGCCAGCAGCCGCGGUAAUACAGAGGGUGCGAGCGUUGUUCGGAAUCACUGGGCGUAAAGCGCGCGCAGGCGGGCGUGUAAGUCAGAAGUGAAAUUCCGGGGCUCAACCCCGGAGCUGCUCCUGAUACUGCAGGUCUGGAGACCGGUAGAGGCUGGUGGAAUUCCCGGUGUAGCGGUGGAAUGCGUAGAGAUCGGGAAGAACACCCGUGGCGAAGGCGGCCAGCUGGGCCGGUUCUGACGCUGAGGCGCGAAAGCGUGGGGAGCAAACAGG
rnacentral:rRNA from 1 species